rnacentral:piRNA from 1 species
AGGAUAUUCUGGUGUUUAUGUCUGC